rnacentral:ncRNA from 1 species
UGUUCAGGUGCCCUAUGUGGGCUUAAAGGGGAAUCCCGUGAGAAACGGGAGCGGACCCGCCGCUGUAACCCUGUUCCCGAUCAAUUCGGAAACAAGGUCUUUAUGACAGGAAGCCACUGUCCCGAGUUUGUCGAGGGAUGGGAAGGCAGAUAAAGGCCAAGGGAAGCCAGAAGACCGGCCUGGACA